rnacentral:rRNA from 1 species
UACGGGGGGGGUAAGCGUUGUUCGGAAUUACUGGGCGUAAAGGGCUCGUAGGCGGCCAACUAAGUCAGACGUGAAAUCCCUCAGCUUAACUGGGGAACUGCGUCUGAUACUGGAUGGCUUGGAUUCGGGAGAGGGAUGUGGAAUUCCAGGUGUAGCGGUGAAAUGCGUAGAUAUCUGGAGGAACACCGAUGGCGAAGGCAGCCCCCUGGGCUGACACUGACGCUCAGGCACGAAAGCGUGGGGAGCAAACAGG